ensembl:lncRNA
AUGUCCAAUGUUAUCUCUCCAGAAUUUUAUAAAUCCUUGGGCUGUUACUGCUGCUCCUCUAACAUGGCCCAUCAUAUACCAGCUCUACCGCCAACUAUCUUCCUAUGUGAAAGAUUGGUAUACUACAAUGCUUAUAUAAUGUUAAAAAUAUCCUGCCAAGCUCCUCUGUUCAGAUGGAGUUAUUCAUUUUUACUGCUCCUCUGGAUUCACAUGUUUAGCCUGGCAAUAAAAGCUGACAAGCUGGAUGCAGCACCGAUGUGGAUGGAGAGGUAUUUGGUAGCACUGUGGUCACUUGCUAUUUGGCCUGAGCGAUCUACUGCACCAGAGGUUGGUAAUCUUGGAAAAACUGAGUCUCUUUAG